CGGUGGAGUAACCUUUUAGGAGCUAGCCGUCGAAGGUGGGACAAAUGAUUGGGGUGAAUGUCGUAACAAGGUAGCCGUAUCGGAAGGUGCGGCUGGAUCACCUCCUUUCU
rnacentral:rRNA from 1 species